CCUACGGGGGGCAGCAGUGGGGAAUAUUGGGCAAUGGAGGCAACUCUGACCCAGCAAUGCCGCGUGAGUGAUGAAGGUAAUUUUAUUGUAAAGCUCUUUUCUUUGGAACGAAUAAAUGACGGUACCAAAGGAAUAAGCCCCGGCUAACUACGUGCCAGCAGCCGCGGUAAUACGUAGGGGGCGAGCGUUGUCCGGAAUUACUGGGCGUAAAGAGAGUGUAGGCGGCACUACAAGUCUCAUGUGAAAUACCCGGGCUUAACUUGGGGGUUGCAUGGGAAACUGUAGAGCUUGAGUACAGGAGAGGCAAGCGGAAUUCCUAGUGUAGCGGUGAAAUGCAUAGAUAUUAGGAGGAACACCAGUGGCGAAGGCGGCUUGCUGGACUGAAACUGACGCUGAGGCUCGAAAGCGUGGGGAGCAAACAGGAUUAGAUACCCGAGUAGUC
rnacentral:rRNA from 1 species